rnacentral:rRNA from 1 species
AGAGUUUGAUCAUGGCUCAGAACGAACGCUGGCGGCGUGCCUAACACAUGCAAGUCGAGCGAGAAAGUUCCUUCGGGGACGAGUAGAGCGGCGGACGGGUGAGUAAUACAUAGGUAAUCUACCUUCGGGCUUGGGAUAACCCCGCGAAAGUGGGGCUAAUACCGAAUAAGACCACGCAACCAUGUUGCGGGGUAAAAGGUGGCUUAUUUUUUAAAUGAGCUAUCGCUUGAGGAUGAGCCUAUGGCCUAUCAGCUUGUUGGCGGGGUAAGAGCCCACCAAGGCUAUGACGGGUAGCUGGUCUGAGAGGACGAUCAGCCACACUGGGACUGAGACACGGCCCAGACUCCUACGGGAGGCAGCAGUGGGGAAUAUUGGGCAAUGGGCGAAAGCCUGACCCAGCGACGCCGCGUGGGCGAUGAAGGCCUUCGGGUUGUAAAGCCCUGUCAUGCGGAAAGAACGACCCUGUGACGCAUACUCACAGGGAGUGACGGUACCGCAGGAGGAAGCACCGGCUAACUCCGUGCCAGCAGCCGCGGUAAUACGGAGGGUGCAAGCGUUGUUCGGAAUUAUUGGGCGUAAAGGGCGCGUAGGCGGUAAUGCAAGUCAGAUGUGAAAUACUCCGGCUCAACCAGAGAACAGCAUCUGAAACUGCAUAACUAGAGUACAGAACAGGGAAACGGAAUUCCCGGUGUAGAGGUGAAAUUCGUAGAUAUCGGGAGGAACACCAGUGGCGAAGGCGGAUUCCUGGUCUGAUACUGACGCUGACGCACGAAAGCGUGGGGGGGCAAACAGGAUUAGAUACCCUGGUAGUCCA